GGGGGUCGGUGCAUUUUAGGGGGGGUCAUUGCCAAAAAUAUCAUACCACUGGGGGGGUUACCAUAAAAAAUUAUUUUAACUAGGGGGGGUCACACAAUAAAGGUUUUUAUGUCUGACUUGUAUAUAAAUUGUUGGCAAAAUUGAAGUGAGUGUGCGAUCUGUGAAAUAAUGUCUGUUUAUUAAAUCUUUGAUAGUGUAAACUGUAAAGCACCAUGCAGCAGGAUAUGCCUAAUUUCUCAAUGGCAGUGAAUCUG
rnacentral:lncRNA from 1 species